UAUGAUCCCCAUUUGUGCUUAUACAUCUAUA
rnacentral:piRNA from 1 species